rnacentral:rRNA from 1 species
ACAUGUAUACAAAUUAGCAUUAAUGCACUAAAUCCAAUUAGAACUCUAUAGUUAAGCGCACUCGAGCUAGAGUAGUACUGGGAUGGGUGACCACCUGAGAAGUUCUAGUAUUUUACAUGCC